GAAGUAGUUUGAGCUAAAUAUAAUUGCAAUGUUAGUAGCUUAGGUAUUGGUGUAGCAAAACCAUACCCGAAAUUAUACUUAGGGGUGAUAGGCCUCUCAAAAACUAAGAUAUCUUGACUCCAAUGAAAUGUAUUUAGUACAAAUUAUACAUUUAUUGAGUGUUUAGGCUUAGUAAUUAUAUAAAUUUAUAUGUUUAUUACUAUUACGUUAUAAUAAAUAAAUAUAUUAGAAUAAUAUAAUAUUUCUUUUAGAGUUUAUAGAAAGUAAUUGGAUUAUAAUUGUAGUUAAUAUAUGUUUAAAUAAUGUUUGUAUUAGUAUUUCGGUAAGUUUUUUGUUAGGAACUCGGCAAAAAUUUUCCUCAACUGUUUAUCAAAAACAUAACUAUGUGUAUAUAUACAUAGCGGUAUCUGCUCAAUGAUAUUUUUAAAUAGCCGCAGUAUACUGACUGUGCAAAGGUAGCAUAAUCAAUUGACUUAUAAUUGAAGUCUGGAAUGAAGGAAAGUAUGGGGAGCAACUGUCUUAUAAAUAUAUUGAGAACUUAUUUAUGAAGUGAAAAUCCUUCUCUUUACAUAAUAGACGAGAAGACCCUAGAAAUUUUUAGUAAUAUAGAUAAAAUGUCUUGUAAUUUUUCGCUGGGGCGGCGGAGUAACACAGAACUUACUCUAAUAAACCUGCGCCUUGUUUGGCGAUUGAUAAAUUUACUCUAGGGAUAACAGCAUAAUAUUUUAAAGUUUAUGACCUCGAUGUUGGACUAGGACAUAAUAGCCUAAAAGGUUUUUUAUAAUGCUCUGUUCGAGCAUAAUCUCCUACAUGAUC
rnacentral:rRNA from 1 species